AGAGUUUGAUUCUGGCUCAGGAUGAACGCUAGCGACAGGCUUAACACAUGCAAGUCGAGGGGCAGCGGGGAGGUAGCAAUACUUCCGCCGGCGACCGGCGCACGGGUGAGUAACACGUAUGGAACCUGCCCGUAGCAGGGGGAUAAGCGGAAGAAAUUCCGUCUAAUACCGCGUAAUAACUCCGAGAGGCAUCUCUUGGGGUUUAAAGGGUAACACCGGCUACGGAUGGCCAUGCGGCGCAUUAGCUAGUUGGCGGGGUAACGGCCCACCAAGGCGACGAUGCGUAGGGGUUCUGAGAGGAAGGUCCCCCACACUGGUACUGAGACACGGACCAGACUCCUACGGGAGGCAGCAGUGAGGAAUAUUGGUCAAUGGGCGCGAGCCUGAACCAGCCAAGUCGCGUGAGGGAAGACGGUCCUAUGGAUUGUAAACCUCUUUUGUCGGGGAGCAAAAGGCGCCACGUGUGGCGUUCCGAGAGUACCCGAAGAAAAAGCAUCGGCUAACUCCGUGCCAGCAGCCGCGGUAAUACGGAAGAUGCGAGCGUUAUCCGGAUUUAUUGGGUUUAAAGGGUGCGCA
rnacentral:rRNA from 1 species